rnacentral:misc_RNA from 1 species
GAUGAAGAACGCAGCGAAAUGCGAUACUUGGUGUGAAUUGCAGAAUCCCGUGAACCAUCGAGUCUUUGAACGCAAGUUGCGCCCGAAGCCAUUAGGUCGAGGGCACGCCUGCCUGGGCGUCACACGUCGUUGCCCCCCCAUCUACUCCUUCGGGAUUGCGGGGGGCGGAUGAUGGCCUCCCGUGCGCCUCGCCGCGCGGUUGGCAUAAAUGCCAAGUCCUCGGCGACGCACGCCACGACAAUCGGUGGUUGCGAAACCUCGGUUGCCCGUCGUGUGCGGUCGUCGCGCAUCGAGGGCUCGAAAAAAUUGCCGGGUUCCGGCUCGGCUUUCAACGCGACCCCAGGUCAGGCGGGGUUACCCGCUGAAUUUAAGCAUAUCAAUAAGCGUAGGA